UCUCGCAGAACAAGACAAGGCACCCAUGAACCGCAAGGUGCUGCUUCUCUCGACCUCCUUCGAUCACGCCAAACUCCGGCGCGGCAGUGUCGAGCUCGUCGUGGCCGCCAUCGGCGUCACGCUCCUCAACGACCUCAACGCGCUCUCAGGUGCCGCGCAGAAGGUUCGAUGGAGGUUGCCAGAGUUUGCGCCUGCCAAGAUGUUGGAUUUUGGUGCCGGGCCAAGCUCAGCGCUUUGGGUCUAUUUGGAUUGCUAUGCCAAGCUACUGAUAAAAAUAUUGGGCAGCUACGACCUCAAUAUCGUAACAUGCAAUAUAUGCCAAACGGCCUGCGAUAUCGACACUACUGCCACAUAUGAUGUUUCAUAAACAGCUCUGUUGUGAAAUAGCAUAGACUCUGUUGAAUAGAAUUUGCCCUGUUAGCCAUGAAUUUGCCCUGUUGAUAAAAUCUGAGGUUCCAUUACUACCAAUAGCCUUGCUUCUCUGUGUGCAGAGUGAGAUGCUGCAGGAGUCCAAUAUUUUGAAGUUCAAGUUUCAAGUGCAGAGCUUGCAGGAGGAGAAUAAGAAGUCUCAUUUGCUUCCAGGUCUGCAAGAACUAUCGCUAUAGUUCCAGUAACCAUUACAUCUGAUCACCUGAGAGUGUCCGUCCAGGAACAGGUGGACGUGACUUCUGCUCGUCUGAGAGUUCCGCUUUCCAUUGAUUUCCAUAUUUGCUGCUAGUGCUUGUAGAUCAGAAAAAAAAAAUUACUUGCCAUCUGUGCUGCCGGACCUACCAAACUUUUACACAGAUACAUUUACGAGCGUCCAAUACAUCCAGACUAUGACAAUCCACCUCCCAUCAAAGUACUGCUGGUUGUCUGGUGCUGAUUUUGUGUGAGAGAAAUACUGUUGGCUGGAUGUAGCGAAGAUGAAGCGAACAGAGUGAUUUGCAAUUCUAUACACGACUCUUUUUUCACCAGAUCAAGAACAAGAGAUAGAAGAUCCAGAUGGUAAGGGAAUGCAACUGAGCAGUAUAUGAAGGUUAGUUUAAGAUUCUAAAAAAAUAAAAAAAAGAUGCUGCAUAUGACCCUUCUAUAUUCAGCUGAGAUAGAAAAUGAAAAAAAGGAUGAACAACUGAGAUAGAGAAUGAAAGAAGGAUGAACAACCCUUCUGUCGUCAAUGGCUUCACAUAUUCAGGUGAAACUUCCGAUGAUGAUGAUGAUCCAAACGAAGCCUAUUAUUAUGCAGACCCAGAUCGCGAGCCAAAAAACUGAUAAAUCCAUGCAUCAGGCUCCCAGCACUUGACAAAUAUCAGCCAACGUGAAGGGGAAAGAAGAAAGCAAUAUUGCUUCUAAGACUAACACAUUCUAGGCACCCAGUUCCUCGGCCUAUCUACUGUUGUUUUCAUAUCAUAAAUCCAGUGCACGUAACCGAACAUUCAGUACACGCUGCUUGUAUAUAUGUACCUACGUAAUAUAUACGUACCUAUAUCCCGACUCCAGCAAAUGUCCAUACUACUUUACCUUGCAACACUUAUUACCCAACAAUACUCUUAAUUUUCUUU